AUUUUCAUUUCAUGUUCAUGUCGCUGACCUGCUUUCACGCCUGUAAACUUGUGAGCAUUACUUCAAAAGCAGCUCUCACAUUUUCACCCACUUUAAGAGCGAUUAUUUUUGCAUUUACUCUUGAGGGCAGUUUAUUAUUCAAGACCCACUCUGUGCCCAACUUAGGCAUGGAUCGCCUGUGCAGUAGAAUCGUUCUUCUUUUACUCACAGGAGCUCUGAUCAGUGGUAAAAAUCCAGAAGAAUUGAACGUCUAUUUGGAACCAAAGUACAUUAAAGUCUGUGAAGGAGACUCUGUCACAAUCAACUGCACUUUUCAGCCGAGUGGAAAGUACAAACUGAGAUGGUACUACAGCCCGACUGAUUCAGACUGUAACUCUGGAACAGAAGGAUUACAC
rnacentral:lncRNA from 1 species